rnacentral:rRNA from 1 species
GACGAACGCUGGCGGCGUGCUUAACACAUGCAAGUCGAACGGAAAGGCCCUGCUUUUGUGGGGUGCUCGAGUGGCGAACGGGUGAGAAACACAUGAGUAACCUGCCCUUGACUUUGGGAUAACUUCAGGAAACUGGGGCUAAUACCCGAUAGGAGCUCCUGCUGCAUGGUGGGGGUUGGAAAGUUAUCGGCGGUUGGGGAUGGACUCUUGGCUUAUCAUCUUGUUGGUGGGGUAGUGGCUUACCAAGGCUUUGACGGGUAGCCGGCCUGAGAGGGUGACCGGCCACAUUGGGACUGAGAUACCGCCCAGACUCCUACGGGAGGCAGCAGUGGGGAAUAUUGCACAAUGGGCGGAAGCCUGAUGCAGCAACGCCGCGUGCGGGAUGACGGCCUUCGGGUUGUAAACCGCUUUCGCCUGUGACGAAGCGUGAGUGACGGUAAUGGGUAAAGAAGCACCGGCUAACUACGUGCCAACAGCCGCGGUGAUACGUAGGGUGCGAGCGUUGUCCGGAUUUAUUGGGCGUAAAGGGCUCGUAGGUGGUUGAUCGCGUCAGAAGUGUAAUCUUGGGGCUUAACCCUGAGCGUGCUUUCGAUACGGGUUGACUUGAGGAAGGUAGGGGAGAAUGGAAUUCCUGGUGGAGCGGUGGAAUGCGCAGAUAUCAGGAGGAACACCAGUGGCGAAGGCGGUUCUCUGGGCCUUUCCUGACGCUGAGGAGCGAAAGCGUGGGGAGCGAACAGGCUUAGAUACCCUGGUAGUCCACGCUGUAAACGGUGGGUACUAGGUGUGGGGUCCAUUCCACGGGUUCCGCGCCGUAGCUAACGCUUUAAGUACCCCGCCUGGGGAGUACGGCCGCAAGGCUAAAACUCAAAGGAAUUGACGGGGCCCCGCACAAGCGGCGGAGCAUGCGGAUUAAUUCGAUGCAACGCGUAGAACCUUACCUGGGUUUGACAUGGAUCGGGAGUGCUCAGAGAUGGGUGUGCCUCUUUUUGGGUCGGUUCACACGUGGUGCAUGGCUGUCGUCAGCUCGUGUCGUGAGAUGUUGGGUUAAGUCCCGCAACGAGCGCAACCCUUGUUCACUGUUGCCAGCACGUUAUGGUGGGGACUCAGUGGAGACCGCCGGGGUCAACUCGGAGGAAGGUGGGGAUGACGUCAAGUCAUCGUGCCCCUUAUGUACAGGGCUUCACGCAUGCUACAAUGGCUGGUACAGAGAGUGGCGAGCCUGUGAGGGUGAGCGAAUCUCGGAAAGCCGGUCUCAGUUCGGAUUGGGGUUUGCAACUUGACCUCAAGAAGUCGGAGUCGCUAGUAAUCGCAGAUCAGCAACGCUGCGGUGAAUACGUUCCCGGG